UACAGAGGGUGCGAGCGUUAAUCGGAAUUACUGGGCGUAAAGGGCACGUAGGUUGUUUUUUAAGUCAGAUGUGAAAUCCCUGGGCUCAACCUAGGAAUUGCAUUUGAUACUGGAAGACUGGAGUACUGUAGAGGAAAGGGGAAUUCACGGUGUAGCGGUGAAAUGCGUAGAUAUCGUGAGGAACAUCGGUGGCGAAGGCGCCUUUCUGGACAGAUACUGACACUGAGGUGCGAAAGCGUGGGUAGCGAAC
rnacentral:rRNA from 1 species